GUUAGUGAAUCCAAGUUCCCUCUGUUCUGACAUUGGGUGUCCUGGGAAGAGAAAGAACUUGACCAGAAGCCAGUCAACAAGCACCAGGGUCAGACCCAGAUAGAUGGGUCGGGAGAACAUGAGGCGUGAGCUCUGCUACCUGUAUUCCAUCAUGGUCUAGUUGCACGAUAGCUGAAGUUGGAGGGCUGAGCAUCUUCAUCCAAAACCGCCAUUUCUCAAGAAGAUAAAGUCAGUCGGGGGAGGUACAGCAAGAAGAUGGCUGUCUCUGAACCGGGAAGCUCUUGCCAAACACCAAAUCUGCCGACACCACAUCUUCAACUUCUCAUUCUCCAGAACUCUCAUUUGCACGUGGUAGCAGCAGAAUUAAUAGAAGGUUUAGCAAAGAACGAC